rnacentral:rRNA from 1 species
AAUGAACGCUGGCGGCGCGCCUAAUACAUGCAAGUCGAGCGAGAAGACGUAGCAAUACGUUUGUAAAGCGGCGAACGGGUGAGGAAUACAUGGGUAACCUACCCUCGAGUGGGGAAUAACUAGCCGAAAGGUUAGCUAAUACCGCGUACGCUCCUUGGACUUCGGUUCAGGGAGGAAAGCGAUACCGUGGGUAUCGCGCUCUUGGUCGGGCUCAUGUCCUAUCAGCUUGUUGGUGAGGUAACGGCUCACCAAGGCUUCGACGGGUAGCUGGUCUGAGAGGACGAUCAGCCACACUGGCACUGCGACACGGGCCAGACUCCUACGGGAGGCAGCAGUAAGGAAUAUUGCGCAAU